rnacentral:rRNA from 1 species
UCCUAUUGAGUCCUCCUUUCCCUUUUUGAAGAAAAAGUUGUCGAAAAUGUCAUUUUGAGAGCAAUAUUUUAGAUCUUUGCUGCAUUUAGUUUUCCUUUUUGCAUCUUUCACAUUAAGGAAGGAGAAAACAAAUACGCGCAUUUGCAUUUAGUAUUUCUUGAUUUGUGUGCAAAAAGAUGAUUUAGGGAAAUGCACUAGGGUGUGCUCUUUGCUCUUUGUUUAAAAGCACUUUUAUCUUCUUUCCCUAGUAGUUAAGAUUUUCAUUGUUUAGAUAAACAAAAGAUUGUUUAUCAUUGUUGAUUGCAUCUUAGGAAUUUCAGAUCAUCAUUACGUGAUGAACCAUUGAAAGGAAAACUCUAAGAAAGAUCAAAUUUAAAAUGAACUUCAAUGAACCUAACAAUGCUUUGGAAUUUAACGCAACACACUAAGAGGUCUAGGCUAGAGACGUGUUCCGGCGUCAUUAAAACUAGUGGCUAUUGUUUUCAUUGAAGGUUGGGUGAUUCCUCCUCCUUGAUAUGACAAGUGCUAGCACGGAGUUGUGAUCCUUGUACCAUUGUGUAUAUAUUGGGAGACCACAAUAGGCUUGAAUCCUUUAUCCAUAGUGUUGUAUAGGUAAAUCCCCUCUACGGAUAGAGGCGAUCCCUACUAGCCCAACAGGGGUCUAGCAACAAUCGAACAAUGCUACACCGCAGGUUCCUAGUUGUAAUUAACAAGUGGGUGAGAAUAACCUACUUGGAUUCCAACGUUUGUUUGUCGAAGAGAUGUUCCUCUCGCUCCUUCACUCCAGCCGAUCACAAUCCCCCCGCUAUCCUCGCGGAUGAAUACCUGCACAAGCAAAAGAGAGCAAACAAAAGCGUAAAAUCUACUAACAACAACUAUGUAUCGGUCAGGAAAGAUACAAUUUGCAUUAAUCAAACAUUGAACAAAUGUAAAUGGAACCAUAAGAGUAGUCAUCUAUCUUUAUUAACAAAAAGUAGAGUAAGGUACAACCGGUGUCCUGACGCUGAGUCCUGAUACAAGGCUUCCCCAUCUCAAGGGUGCACUCUACACGAGCAUCGAAAGGGAAUCGGGUUAAUAUUCCCGAACUAGGACAUGGCGGCGGGCGGCAAUGUUAGGAAAUCCGGAGACGUCGUUGGGGGCCCCGGGAAGAGUUAUAUUUUCUUUUAACAGCUUGCCCACCCUGGAAUCGGUUCACCCAGAGAUAGGGUCUAGCAGCUGGAAGAGCACCGCAUGUCUUGCAGUGUCCAAUGCGCCCUCGGUGGCCCUUGAAAAUCUGGAGGAUCGAGUACCAUUCAUGCCCGAUCAUACUCAUAACCGGAUCAAGUCUCCAAGGUGAACAUCCCCUGGUCAAUAGAAAAAUGUAGGUAAGGGAAGUCAGCAAAAUCGAUCCGUAACUUAGAGAAAAUGAUUGGCUCUAAGGGCUGGGCCUAGGGGUCUACGCCCUCAACUCAUGGGCUAUUGGCAGUCUGCCCGAGCUGCUCUCGCAACAAGGGUGGGCAGUUGCGUGACGAUUGGGCUAUGGGCAUAGAAUGCCCCUUGUCGGGGGCUUUUCCCUAGGCGUCGAACAGUCGACUCAGAACUGGUAUGGACAAGGGGAAUCUGACUGUUUAAUUAAAACAAAGCAUUGCGAUGGUCCCUGCGGAUGCUGAUGCAAUCUGAUUUCUGCCAGUGCUCUGAAUGUCAAAGUGAAGAAAUUCAACCAAGCGCGGGUAAACGGCGGGAGUAACUAUGACUCUCUUAAGGUAGCCAAAUGCCUCAUCAUCUAAUUAGUGAUGUGCAUGAAUGGAUUAACGAGAUUCCCACUGUCCCUAUCUACUAUCUAGCGAAACCAUAGCCAAGGGAACAUGCUUAGCAAAAUCAGUGGGGAAAGAAGACCCUGUUGAGCUUGACUCUAGUCUGACUUUGUGAAAUGACUUGAGAGGUGUAGAAUAAGUGGGAGCCGUUUUCGACGCAAGUGAAAUACCACUACUUUUAACGUUAUUUUACUUAUUUUGUGGGGCGGAGAUGGGGCACUGCCCCUAUUUUUGGCUUUAAGGCAUGUUUCGGCGGUUCGAUCCAGGCGGAAGACAUUGUCAGGUGGGGAGUUUGGCUGGGAUGGCACAUCUGUUAAAAGAUAACACAGGUGUGCUAAGAUGAGCUCAACGAGAACAGAAAUCUCGUGUGGAACAAAAGGGUAAAAGCUCAUUUGAUUUUGAUUUUCAGUACGAAUACAAACCGUGAAAGCGUGGCCUAUAGAUCCUUUAGAUUUUUAGAAUUUGAAGCUAGAGGUGUCAGAAAAGUUACCACAGGGAUAAAUGGCUUGUGGCAGCCAAGCGUUCAUAGCGACGUUGCUUUUUGAUCCUUCAAUGUCGGCUCUUCCUAUCAUUAUGAAGAAAAAUUCACCAAGUGUUGGAUUGUUCACCCACCAAUAGGGAAUAUGAGCUGGGUUUAGACUGUCAUGAGACAGGUUAGUUUUACCCUACUGAUGAAUCGCAUAGCAAUAGUAAUUCAACUUAGUAAGAGAGGAACCAUUGAUUCACACAAUUGGUCAUCGCGCUUGGUUGAAAAACCAGUGGCGCGAAGCUACCGUGUGUCGGAUUAUGACUGAACGUCUCUAAGUCAGAAUCCACGCUAGAAGUGGUGCAUGUCACUCUUCGACUGUAUCUCGACCUGUAGUAGGGGUGUCGCUUUGUCACCCCAGGGGCCCGUGUCAUUUGCAAACUGCAACCGUGAAGCAUCUCGGUCGGGGUAGCUUUGAAGUUAAAUUCCAAACGGUAGUUGAGAAGAAUCCUUUGCAGACGACUUAAAUACACGACGGGGUAUUGUAAGUGGCAGAGUGGCCUUACUGCCACGACCCACUGAGAUUCAGCCCUUGGUCGCCU